CCCACAAGUUUCUGAGUAAACAAACAUCUAUCCUCUGUCUUUAAAAUACAAACUCAGCAAUGGACUUGCCAUGGGGGUGAUCGUGAUAAUUUUUAAAGCAGUGUUGUUUCUCUCUAGAGGGAGAAGAAAAAUUGUAAUGAAAACAUAUUUUGGAUGGUCACCCCCCCCCAAAAAAAAAAAAAAAAAAAUCAUCCUGAAGUAAUAGUCCUCUUUUCCAUUGGAAAGACUCUUUGGCAAAGGGAGAAUGAUGCCAGCUUUCUAGCCAAGUGGAAGUCUAGCAGACAACCAGAGAAAACAGAGCUGGAAAAGACAGAAAAUGCGCAGGAUCAAGUAUGCUGUAUUAUUCCAUGAUGGAUGUUUGGACUCUUUUUGAGAGCAUGCACAGUUUUUGGACAUGCAUGGAGAAUGUUCCAUCCCUGUGCUAUCUAUCCCAGACUUCCUUUAUGCUCCUAUUAGAAAGGUGGCUUUUUGGGAGGUGUGGGUUUUUGUUUGGUUUGGGUUUGUUUAUUUUUUUGCCAGUGCCAAGUCUAUAUUUCCCUGUUUCUAUUCCCAACCAUGUUUUUCACCUCAGUCAGAGUGCAGAGUGAUAUAUUCUCUCUCUUCUUUGUCUCUUCUUCUCUGGCAAAGAAAGUCAGUUCCUGAUCCCACCCACCGUUCCACACACACUCCUUCCCCCAAAAUUUUCCCCAAGUACUGGUCAGUAUCGGUAGAGCAGAAAUAUGUCUUUUUUUCUCUUCCCUG